AGGACGAACGCUGGCGGCGUGCUUAACACAUGCAAGUCGAGCGGAAAGGCCCUUCGGGGUACUCGAGCGGCGAACGGGUGAGUAACACGUGAGUAAUCUGCCCCUAGCUCUGGGAUAGCUCCGGGAAACCGGGAUUAAUACCGGAUACGACCACCUUAGACAUCUUUUGUGGUGGAAAGAAUUUCGGCUAGGGAUGAGCUCGCGGCCUAUCAGCUUGUUGGUGGGGUAACGCCUACCAAGGCGACGACGGGUAGCCGGCCUGAGAGGGCGACCGGCCACACUGGGACUGAGACACGGCCCAGACUCCUACGGGAGGCAGCAGUGGGAAUAUUGCGCAAUGGGCGAAAGCCUGACGCAGCGACGCCGCGUGGGGAUGAAGGCCUUCGGGUUGUAACCCCUUUCAGCAGGGACGAAGCGAAGUGACGGUACCUGCAGAAGAAGCGCCGGCUAACUACGUGCCAGCAGCCGC
rnacentral:rRNA from 1 species